GAGCCGGUGACGCGCCGCCCGCGGAGCCUCAGCGCAGCAGGCCCGGGCCCGGCGGGAGGAGGGUGCGGGCGCCGCCGGCUGGUCUCCUCCUGGGGUGGCCCGAGCCUGGCCGGGGCCGAGGAUACCGCGGCCGCCGGGCGUGUGGAGAGCGAUGGAGCCUAGGAAGAGAAGAAGCAAAGAGGACACUUGGGAAGCGGAGGACCUGAGGAGACACCUCUGGGCUGCGCAGUCAGGCAGUCCCAGGGAGGAGAGGAAACACGGGGACAAGCAGCUGCACAAGGAGUCUGAGGUGGCCCUCCUGGGACACCAGGAGCCUAAGUGCAGGGGUGCGGGCCACGAGACCAAGCACAGAGAGAGGGUGGCCGAGGCUCACACCGCCAAGGAGAGUCCUCUCGGGGAGAGAGACAGAGAAAAGCAACGUGAGAGGAGAAGAGACACAAAAGAGCGGGAGAAAGACAAGCUGAAGGAGAAACACCGGGAGCAGGAUGACGGAAGGUCUCACGGCAAAGGAAAGGACAGAGAAAAGGAGAAAGACAGAAGGGCCAGGAGAGAAGAGCAGGUCUGGCAGACGUCCGCCUUCCACAACCUGCUGGGCCGGGAGGCGCGGGCCCGGCAGCCACCGCAGCGGGCGGAGAGGACGGGCCGCUCAGCAAGUAAAGUGAGAAGUGAAGAGAAAGAAAGGAGAGAUGAAGACUCAGAAAGAGGAGAUGAAGACAGAGAAAGAAGAUACCGGGAGAGGAAGCUGCAGUACGGGGACAGCAGGGGCAACCCUCUCAAGUACUGGCUGUACAAGGAAGAGGGCGAGAGGAGACACAGGAAGCCACGAGGGGCAGAUCGAGAGAAGAAACACCGAGAGAAGAGCAGCACAAGGGAGAAGAGGGAGAAGUACUCCAAAGAAAAAAGCAGUUCUUUCUCGGACAGAGAAGGGGAAGAGAGGCACAGGGAGAAAUGCCACAGGGAAGGCCUCCCUGCCGACGAGGCGCAGCAGCGAAGUCACUCGGAGAGAAAAGAGAAAUUGUCGCGAGAGGAGCGUAAGAGAAGGGAGCCCAAGAACGGUGAACACAGGAGUCGGGGUGCCAGUUCGAGGAGAGACGGGACCAGCAGCCAGCAUGCAGAGAAUUUAGUGAGGAAUAAUGGAAAAGAGAAAGACUCAAGAAGGAAGCACGGCCGUGAGGAGGGCUCCUGCGGGUGGAAGCUGGUGCAGAGGCGAGGACACGAGGAGACCGUGGAAAUUGAAAAGGAAGAGAUUGAUUCAGAAAAUGCUAGAGAUAAUGAAUAUACAGCCAGUUUUGAAGAUGAUUUUGAAGAGUAUGAGGACGACUUUGAGGUCUGUGACGAUGACGAGGACGGCAGUGCUGAGCCCGAGCUAAGAGGGACGCUGGAAGAACUUCCUCCAGCCCAGAAAAGGGAGAUACAAGAAAUUCAAAAAGCCAUCAGCGCGGAAAAUGAGAGGAUUGGCGAGUUGUCUUUGAAGCUAUCUCGGAAUCAAGGUGGAGUGGAACGGGAAAGGGAAUCCAGGACAGAUGCAAACAGUUCCCCAUCCAGAGCCUCUGUUUGUGGGAUUUUUGUGGAUUUUGCAACAGCUUCACACCGUCAAAAGAGUCGGACUCAGGCCCUUAAGCAAAAGACACGAAGUACAAAACUGCUUCGACUUAUUGACUUAGAUUUUUCAUUCACUUUCUCUCUCUUGGAUCUGCCACCAGUGAAUGAAUAUGACAUGUACAUCAGAAACUUUGGGAAAAAAAACACCAAGCAGGCAUAUGUUCAGUAUAAUGAAGAUAAUGUUGAGAGAGACGUUCAAACUGAAGAAAUAGAGACCAGGGAAGUGUGGACCCAGCAUCCAGGAGAAAGCAAUGUAGUCUCUGGAGGCAGUGAGAAAAGAGAUAUCUCUGAUGCUACAGUUGUACCAAAGAUUGAUACUCCAAGGCUGUCAAGCUUUCUGCAGGCAGCUUGCCAGGUGGUGGCUGUGUUGCUGGAGGAGGACCGUUUGGCAGCGGGACCCAGCCGGACUCCCCGCGCUCAGGACGGCACCUUGUCCAUCAGCGAAAGCUCGUCGCAGCUGAACACGAACCUGCCCUUCCUGCAAAAUCGAAAAGUAUCCUGUUUGCAUGUCUCUCGAGCUCAGAGGCAGAUGGUGGUCUCUGUUCAUGAUUUACCCAAGAAGGCGUUUGCUCCCCAGCUGGACGGCAGAUACGUCCUCUGUGUGUGGGAUAUUUGGCAGCCCUCAGGGCCCCAGAAGGUUCUGAUAUGUGAGUCCAAGGUCACAUGCUGCUGCUUUAGCCCCUUGAAAGCAUUUCUGCUCUUUGCCGGAACAGUGCAUGGCUCGGUCGCCGUGUGGGACCUAAGAGAAGACUCCAGGAUACACCAUUAUGUGAAGCUGAGCGAUUGUUUCUGGACGUUCAGGACGUCAACAUUUUCUACUGAUGGAAUCUUUACACCAGUAAACCACCAAAGUCCUCUGCAAGCAAUAGAACCCGUCUCAACCUCUGUCUGCAAAAAACAGAGCUUUGUGCUUUCACCUUUUUCUACUCAAGAAGAAAUGUCAGGUUUGUCAUUCCACAUCGCGUCGUUGGACGAGAGUGGGGUUCUCAAUGUGUGGGUGGUUGUUGAAUUGCCGAAGGCAGACACCGCAGGUUCAGUAAGCGACUUAGGCCUGCUCCCUGGAGGGAGGAUCAAGCUGGUGCACAGCGCUGUGAUCCCGCUGGGGCGCAGUCUUUCCUGUAAAGUCAGUGAGUUUUGGGCGACCACACAAAUGCUGAAUAUUAAGUUUCUACCUUCAGAUCCUAGUCGCUUUAUUGUUGGCACAGACGUGGGGCUGGUGGGCCAUGGCGCGUGGCAGGACCUGAGAGCAUCUCCCGCGUCCUUCAAGCCUCAGCAGCGCGGCCUGAGACCCGUCAGAGUCAACGUGAUUGAUUUCUCUCCAUUUGGAGACCCAAUAUUUUUGGCUGGCUGCUCGGACGGGAGUGUGCGGCUGCACGGGCUGAGCUGCGAGCACCCGCUCCUGCAGUGGGACGGCAGCACGGGCGGCCGUGCCGUCACCGGCCUGCAGUGGUCCCCAGUGAGGCCGGCCGUGUUCCUGGUCCAGGACGACAUGUCCAACAUCUACGUCUGGGACCUGCUCGCCAGCGACCUGGGCCCGGUGGCCAGACAGCCCGUCUCCCCCGACAGGCUGCUGGCCAUGGCCGUCGGGGGAGAGCCGGACAAGGCCGGCGGCAGCGAGCUGGCCCUGGUGCUGGCCCGGGCGUCUGGCGCCGUGGACGUCCAGUUCCUGCGGAGGCAGUGGGCAGCCCCGGAGGCAGACGAGCGCGCCCGGCUGCGCCUGCUUUUGCAGGAAGCACGGUGGAAGGAGGGAGGCCAGUGCGAGUGACGGGUGUUGCUGGGAGCACAGCGUUCACGUAAGGACCCGAUGUGAGAGGCAUGAGGUGGCUGAUGUCACAUCCGUGUGCGCGGCUGUUUGUGUGUAUAGCAUAUGUGUGUCCUGUACAUAAUUUAUUUUAUAAGAGUGUUACUUUGGAAUUGCCAGUAAAUAAAUCACUAUUUUUGAACAGAAACAAAUGGACAUUUUAGUGGAUGCUACAUGUCAAAGAAUUAGUCGUGUCCAGGAUGCUGAGUAUUUCUAGUUAUUUUUAGAACAUUUAAAAUGUUGCCAUAUUCAUUACUAGAUUCUUAACUGUCUGCCAUGAAGUUGUAUUUUAAUGGACUAUUUUUUAGUCAUGCAUAAAGUGAUAUAUACACACACGUCUAAAUUAAAAGGAAUUACUCCCCUGAAAUGACCUCUGCUGACAGUGUUUUCUUUAAACUUUUCUUGGGCAUCUUCUUUUGCCAUUAUUUGAAUGUCCCUUAUGGGGUCAAGUCAUUGACGCUUUAGCAUUAAAAAUUGUCUUUGUCUAGGAACAAUGCAAGGAAAUAAAGUCUCUUGAAGUUUGUGACUCAGAUACAACAGGAAUGGAAGGCGUCUCAGUCCAUUUGUGCUGCUGUAGCACAGUGACGGGGACUAGGAACUUGCAAAGGACAGAAAUGCACGUCCCCGGCUCUGGCGGCUGGAAGUCCCGGCUGUCCUUGCGGCUGCUCUCUGCUUCCGCGGUGGCGCCUCGUUGCCGCGUCCUCACACAGCGACGCACGUGGGGGUCAGGCUCUUUCCUCACGGCCUUGAUCCACCUGUGAGGGCUGUGCCUCCCAAAGGUGUCGUCACCUUGGGGUUUAAGUUCCAGUGAAUUUUGGGGGGGCACACACAUCACACCAUAGCAGAAGGACAGGAGGAUUCUGGGAGUGAGACCAGGGAAAAGCCAGGACAUGUCGCAUAGGCCCACUCCUCUGCCUCUGUCUUCUGCACCUUUCCAGAAUGUUCCCAGCACAGUUGGCUGUCGAUGGGCCCGUGAGGGCCAGCAGGACAGGCCUGUUUAAACCUCACCGGGUCAUAGAACUGCCUCCACUUAGGCGGCCGGGCUGGGGGCCUACCCAGGGCUCCCUGGUGCUGUGGACACACCAGCUCCGCGACUUGGGGCUGCAGCGGGACUUCCCGGAGGGGCUGUGUCACAGCACCAAGCAACCUGCAGCCUUUGUGUCCUUUUUCGUGAAGUUGAUUUGAAACCGUCAACCCCCCCGUCCCCGUUACAAAAACAGUUGAGAUGGGAUAACGUGGACCUUCCCCUCCCGUCCAAGUCCCAUCCCGGGAGGCCCAGUCGCGUGUGUGUGUGUGUUCAGCCCUCUGGGUGCACAGAUGCGCGUGCGAACACGCUGGCUUGUGAAGUGUCGUGGAGGACGAGGGGUGGCAGUAGCUGGCACCUGACAGCCCAUGCGUCCCUCCUCUGUCCCACGAAAGGAGGACCACUGAGGCACACAACAGACGCAUCGCAGGUCCCUGUCACACGGGCGGCUGGGCUCAGCUGCUCCUCUGCGUCCUCCCCAGGCUCAGGCUCACAGGUGAGGCGGGUGCCCCGGCCCCGCGGGGUCCUCACCGCAACCUGCUUCCUGACGGGUCCCGAGUAGCCAAAGAUUGAUGUUAUCUGUGUCUGUGAGCCACACGGAAAUGUGAAGCGUGCAAAGAAAGAAAAGUCCAGAAAGGCCAAGUGAUCUGCCUUCAGCCCGGUCUCCAGGGAAGACUCGGCUGUUUGUCUGGGAGCUGCCUUCCCCGGUGCCAGCCAUGAGCGAUGCUUCCCAGGGCUUGGGGACACCUCCCGGCUCUGCAGCGGGAAAACAAGGAGGCACCAGGACGGCGGGUGCAGCCUCUAGUUGAGAAAAAACACAUUUCAUUGCAGAUCAGGAAAGCAGGCCCAGAGAGAAGAGAGCAGACGGCGUGGAGGGCAGCUCUGCCUGCGCCUGGGGCUUUCCCAGGCGCUCCAUCCACCCGCGGGACGGGCCAGGCCAUGCCCUUUCCGCAGAGCGUCCCCACACGGGCCUCCCGGGGCCAGCCGGGUGUCGCUGCACGUGCUUCGGAGACACCCAGCGUGCGGCCACACAAAGACAGCGUUUUCUUCUGCGGGCAGACAAUGGAAAUGUAAUUUUCUCUUUUUUUGUCAUGUUGUUAUUUAGAAAUCACUUUUCUUUCAGCAUUUGUCAUGAGUAUAAAUAAAGCAUUUCUUUUUUCA